rnacentral:tRNA from 1 species
UCUAAUAUGGCAGACUAGUGCAAUAGAUUUAAGAUCUAUAAAUAAAGUUCAACUUUUUUUAGAA